CCUACGGGUGGCAGCAGUGAGGAAUAUUGGUCAAUGGACGAGAGUCUGAACCAGCCAAGUAGCGUGAAGGAUGACUGCCCUAUGGGUUGUAAACUUCUUUUAUAUGGGAAUAAAAUGUUCCACGUGUGGGAUUUUGUAUGUACCCUAUGAAUAAGGAUCGGCUAACUCCGUGCCAGCAGCCGCGGUAAUACGGAGGAUCCGAGCGUUAUCUGGAUUUAUUGGGUUGAAAGGGAAAGUAGGUGGAUUGUUAAGUCAGUUGUGAAAGUUUGAGGCUCAACCGUAAAAUUGCAGUUGAAACUGGCAGUCUUGAGUACAGUAGAGGUGGGCGGAAUUCGUGGUGUAGCGGUGAAAUGCUUAGAUAUCACGAAGAACUCCGAUUGCGAAGGCAGUUCACUGGACUGCAACUGACACUGAGGCUCGAAAGUGUGGGUAUCAAACAGGAUUAGAUACCCUUGUAGUC
rnacentral:rRNA from 1 species